rnacentral:rRNA from 1 species
GACGAACGCUGGCGGCGUGCCUAAUACAUGCAAGUCGAGCGAGCGGAACCAACAGAUUUACUUCGGUAAUGACGUUGGGAAAGCGAGCGGCGGAUGGGUGAGUAACACGUGGGGAACCUGCCUCAAAGAGGGGGACAACAGUUGGAAACGACUGCUAAUACCGCAUAAGCCCACGACCCGGCAUCGGGUUGAGGGAAAAGGAGUGAUCCGCUUUGAGAUGGCCUCGCGUCCGAUUAGCUAGUUGGUGAGGUAACGGCCCACCAAGGCGACGAUCGGUAGCCGGACUGAGAGGUUGAACGGCCACAUUGGGACUGAGACACGGCCCAG